rnacentral:misc_RNA from 1 species
CGAGUUUACAACUCCCAAACCAUUGUGAAUCUUACCUUUUCGUUGCUUCGGCGGGAUCGCCCCGGGCGCUUCGGUGCCCCGGAUUCAGGCGCCCGCCGAGGGACCCAAACUCUUGUAUUAUAGUGGAUUUCUGAGUGGAUUACACAAAUAAUCAAAACUUUCAACAACGGAUCUCUUGGUUCUGGCAUCGAUGAAGAACGCAGCGAAAUGCGAUAAGUAAUGUGAAUUGCAGAAUUCAGUGAAUCAUCGAAUCUUUGAACGCACAUUGCGCCCGCCAGUAUUCUGGCGGGCAUGCCUGUCUGAGCGUCAUUUCAACCCUCAUGCCCCAGCGGUGUGGUGUUGGGGAUCGGCCCGCCCGGGCCGUCCCCUAAAUCUAUUGGCGGACUCGCUGUAGCCUCACUCUGCGUAGUAGUGAUAUUUCGCAUUGGAGAGCGGCGAGCCCCUGCCGUAAAACCCCAACUUCUCAGG